rnacentral:rRNA from 1 species
UGGUCAAGUUAUUAAGGGUGCAGGGCGGAUGCCUUGGCACUAGGAGCCGAUGAAGGACGUGAUAAGCUGCGAUAAGCUUCGGGGAGUUGCACGUAAACUUUGAUCCGAAGAUUUCCGAAUGAGGAAACUCACUUAGAGUAAUGUCUAAGUAUCAUUAAGUGAAUACAUAGCUUAAUGAGGGGAACUCAGGGAACUGAAACAUCUAAGUACCUGAAGGAAGAGAAAGAAAUUCGAUUCCGUAAGUAGCGGCGAGCGAACGCGGAUUAGCCCAAACCAAUAAAGUUUUCUUUAUUGGGGUUGCGGACAUAUCAUAACGAAGAGGUAUCGUAAUUGAAGAGGUUUGGAAAGAUCCACCACAGAAGGUAAUAGUCCUGUAUGUUAAACGAGAAGACUUUAGAUAUGAUCCAGAGUACCACGGG